rnacentral:rRNA from 1 species
AGGAGUUUGAUCCUGGCUCAGGAUGAACGCUGGCGGCGUGCCUAAUGCAUGCAAGUCGAGCGACGCAUACCGGAGGGGUAACCCACUGGUAUGACGGAGCGGCGAACGGGUGAGUAACACGUGAGUAACCUGCCCCACAGACCGGGACAGCCCAGGGAAACCUGGAUUAAUACCGGAUACCCUCGGGGGAUCGCAUGAUCUUUCGAGGAAAUGCCUUUGUGCUGUGGGAUGGACUCGCGACUUAUCAGCUAGUUGGUGGGGUAACGGCCUACCAAGGCGUCGACGAGUAGCUGGUCUGAGAGGACGAUCAGCCACACUGGGACUGAGACACGGCCCAGACUCCUACGGGAGGCAGCAGCAGGGAAUCUUGCGCAAUGGGCGAAAGCCUGACGCAGCAACGCCGCGUGGGGGAUGAAGGCCUUCGGGUUGUAAACCCCUUUCAGGAGGGAAGAAAUUGACGGUACCUCCAAAAGAAGCACCGGCCAACUACGUGCCAGCAGCCGCGGUAAUACGUAGGGUGCGAGCGUUAUCCGGAAUCAUUGGGCGUAAAGAGCUCGUAGGCGGUUCAGCAAGUCGGCUGUGAAAUUUCGAGGCUCAACCUCGAAACUGCAGUCGAAACUGCUGUGACUCGAGUCCGGUAGAGGAGAAUGGAAUUCCCGGUGUAGCGGUGAAAUGCGCAGAUAUCGGGAGGAACACCAG